rnacentral:rRNA from 1 species
AUGAACGCUAGCGACAGGCCUAACACAUGCAAGUCAGGGGCAGCACAAGGAGCAAUCUGAGGUGGCGACCGGCGCACGGGUGAGUAACACGUAUGCAACCUGCCUGUAAGCGGGGAAUAACCCGUUGAAAGACGGACUAAUACCGCAUAAUACUAAAUUACUGCAUGGUAAUUUAUUUAAACAUUUAUGGCUUACAGAUGGGCAUGCGCAUGAUUAGCUAGUUGGAGAGGUAACGGCUCCCCAAGGCAACGAUCAUUAGGGGUUCUGAGAGGAAGGUCCCCACACUGGUACUGAGACACGGACCAGACUCCUACGGGAGGCAGCAGUGAGGAAUAUUGGUCAAUGGACGAGAGUCUGAACCAGCCAAGUCGCGUGCAGGAAGAAUGUCCUAAUGGAUUGUAAACUGCUUUUGCAGGGGAAUAAAGUGCAUCACGUGUGAUGUUUUGUAUGUACUCUGCGAAUAAGGAUCGGCUAACUCCGUGCCAGCAGCCGC